GACGAACGCUGGCGGCGUGCUUAACACAUGCAAGUCGAACGGAAAGGCCAUGCUUUUGUGGGGUGCUCGAGUGGCGAACGGGUGAGUAACACGUGAGUAACCUGCCCUUGACUUUGGGAUAACUUCAGGAAACUGGGGCUAAUACCGGAUAGGAGCUCCUGCUGCAUGGUGGGGGUUGGAAAGUUUCGGCGGUUGGGGAUGGACUCGCGGCUUAUCAGCUUGUUGGUGGGGUAGUGGCUUACCAAGGCUUUGACGGGUAGCCGGCCUGAGAGGGUGACCGGCCACAGUGGGACUGAGAUACGGCACAGACUCCUACGGGAGGCAGCAGUGGGGAAUAGUGCACAAUGGGCGGAAGCCUGAUGCAGCAACGCCGCGUGCGGGAUGACGGCCUUCGGGUUGUAAACCGCUGUCGCCUGUGACGAAGCGUGAGUGACGGUAAUGGGUAAAGAAGCACCGGCUAACUACGUG
rnacentral:rRNA from 1 species